ACCCAGCAUUUCUCAAGGCAACAGCUGAGCAUUAUUAUCUCAGACCUCUGUAUUUAAUCUGAUAUUUCAUAAAAGCAUUGUGGUGAAUGAAAAUAUAUAAUGGAAGAUAAGAGAAUUUUCCCACUAAAGAUGCAGCUAAAUGGAAUAUGAUUUGAAGUGGAAUACAAACAUGACACAUAAAAUAAGAGAGAAUUCAAACAAUUCAUACAAUUAAGCAGGACCAGCAGCCAGCUCAGUGAAUCCUCCACUGCUUCCAGCAUUUGCCCACCUGGCUCACAUUCACCAGCUCAAAUGCAUGUGAGAGGAGAUGUUCCAGGAGUAGAUGGACUUCAUGCACAUCCUUGUGGAGGAGAUCUAGGCAGAGCGGCAGGACUGUAUCUCUGAGCACUGGGAGAGGAGAGCAAUCUUGGAGCAGCUCACCAGACAGCAUGAGAUGAUGUUUGCUUCUCUGACUGCUGUCAUGGAUCAUGUGUCAUCCUGUCUCAAACAAACCACCUCACAGAAUCCUGCCUGCCCCUAUCACAUCCCCAAUCCCUCCUUCUCAUGCACCGUGGCUUCUGCCCCCAGGGUCCACUGGGGCCCUAGGACAUGGGGAGGGGGAGGAAGAAGGCAGUCCCACUCCCAUUCCUGAGCCCCUUUCCUCUUCCAGUUCCCAGUUCUGUCCUUUCCCUGCUGUUUUCACCAAAU